AGAAUCAACGCUGGCGGCGUGCCUAACACAUGCAAGUCGAACGAGAAAGUGGAGCAAUCCAUGAGUAAAGUGGCGCACGGGUGAGUAACACGUGACUAACCUACCCUUGAGUGGGGGAUAACCUAGGGAAACCUGGGCUAAUACCGCAUAAUACCUUCGGGUCAAAGGAGCAAUUCGCUUAAGGAGGGGGUCGCGGCCGAUUAGUUAGUUGGCGGGGUAAUGGCCCACCAAGACUGUGAUCGGUAUCCGGCCUGAGAGGGCGCACGGACACACUGGAACUGAAACACGGUCCAGACUCCUACGGGAGGCAGCAGUGGGGAAUUUUGCGCAAUGGGGGAAACCCUGACGCAGCAACGCCGCGUGGAGGAUGAAGUCCCUUGGGACGUAAAACUCCUUUCGAUCGGGACGAUUAUGACGGUACCGGAAGAAGAAGCCCCGGCUAACUUCGCGCCAGCAGCCGC
rnacentral:rRNA from 1 species